rnacentral:rRNA from 1 species
GUGGGGAAUCUUAGACAAUGGGCGCAAGCCUGAUCCAGCAAUGCCGCGUGCAGGAUGAAGGCCCUCGGGUUGUAAACUGCUUUUGUACGAAACGAAAAGCCUGGGGCUAAUAUCCCCGGGUCAUGACGGUACCGUAAGAAUAAGCACCGGCUAACUACGUGCCAGCAGCCGCGGUAAUACGUAGGGUGCAAGCGUUAAUCGGAAUUACUGGGCGUAAAGCGUGCGCAGGCGGUUUUGUAAGACAGUGGUGAAAUCCCCGGGCUCAACCUGGGAACUGCCAUUGUGACUGCAAGGCUAGAGUGCGGCAGAGGGGGAUGGAAUUCCGCGUGUAGCAGUGAAAUGCGUAGAUAUGCGGAGGAACACCGAUGGCGAAGGCAAUCCCCUGGGCCUGCACUGACGCUCAUGCACGAAAGCGUGGGGAGCAAACAGGAUUAGAAACCCUAGUAGUCC